rnacentral:tRNA from 1 species
GGGCCUAUGGUCUAGUGGUACGAUACUACAUUCGCAUUGUAGUGACGGGAGUUCGAUUCUCCCUAGGUCCACAA